UGCAGAAUCAAACACAGCCCAACAUCGGGGUGUCACCAGUCAUGAGCAUCUAAAAUCCGUCUAAGAGUAUGAAAAGACAACAUAGUCUAAUACAAGGCUAGUACAAAGUGAAGUAAAUAUAGGAAGGAGAAACACUGGGCUGCGAGUGCAGGGAGUAAUGUGAGUACGCUAACUCAGUAAGUAAUAAAAGUAAAGGCAGCUGAGUGAUAAGAAAACAUGUAAAACACAGCAUAAUUCUACAACAAAAACAGUAUAAAACCAGGACAAUGCAAUAAAACAGUAAAAGCUCGUAAAAACACCUUAGUUCAAUAAAAACCCUUUUAAAAUAUCUUUCAGUAGUUCAAACGAGUGAUGAAAAUAGGGAGAAAAAGAUAGAAACAUAAAUCAGCCCCUCGGGCAAAAUACCAACAGAACCAGCUUCUCGAGCUAUCUCACAAUCACUCCUAUCAGCCCUUCGGGCUAUAAUAUGAACAACAACGGCCAUCGGGCAAUAUCACAUCUCACAUUGGGUACCCGCGCUCACUGGGGGUGUGCAGACUCUGGAGGAGCUCCUACAGCCCAAGCGCGAUAUCAAACCAUCUCGUGGUAUAAUCAAACUGGUCCUCAUCCUCAUAAUCGUGAAUCAGUACAACACUGCUGCGGCGCGCAACCCGAUCCCAUAGUAUCCUCACAACACAGGCCCUCGGCCUCACUUAGUCAGAAAUCUCUCAAGCCACUCGGGCAACAGUAAAACAGGAUGCUCAGCCCAAAAUAUCAUUUAAAAUAUCAAAACGGAGUAAAUAUGGUUGAGUUAUGAAAAUAGUAGAAUACAACAUCGCUGAGUAUAAUAUGAAGUCAAAACAUUGAGAAAUAGUAGUAAAAAUUCCCUAAGGGUCCAAAACAGUUGGCACGAGGCCCAAAUAUGACAUUCAGCCCAAAACAUGAUAAUACUUUCCAAAACACAAUGAUAACAAAUAGUUUUCAAUCAAAUACGCGGUUUAAAAGUCAUACGGAACGGACUAAGUCACAAUCCCCAACAGUGCACGACCCCACGCUCGUCAUCUAGCGUGUGUGUCACCUUAAAGUAGCACAAUUAUGUGAUGUUCGGGGUUUCAUACCCUUAGGACAGCAUUUACAAUUAUUACUUACCUCUAUCCGGUCCAAACUCUAGCCCGCAAUACCUUUGCCCCUCGAAUCGGCCUCCAGAUGCUCCAAAUCUAUCCAAAAACAGAUUUAUACAAUCAAAAUAUGAUAAGGGAACAUGGACCACUCGAAAAUAACCAAUUUACAUCAAAAAUCCUGAAAUUGAUCAAACCCAACCCCUAGGCUGUCACGCCCCGAACCUGAGGGCGAGACUGGCACCCAGUGCCUCUCCUAUCAUUGCGUACUAACUUGCAACUAAGGGACUCUGCACAUAUGAUAUCAUACUUUAGCUAUGGGCCACAUUGCAAGAUAAUUGUGAGUGCUGACUAAAUGUCUAUAUACAACUGGGCCGACAAGGCCGUCAAAACUAUUACAGCUGACAAACCAAUCAAAUAUACAUAUAAGGCCUGCAAGCCUAACAUAUU
rnacentral:lncRNA from 1 species